CCUACGGGUGGCAGCAGUGGGGAAUAUUGCACAAUGGGGGAAACCCUGAUGCAGCAACGCCGCGUGAGUGAGGAAGGAUUUCGGUAUGUAAAACUCUUUCAGCAGGGAAUAGAAAAGAAGGUAGCGGAAAAAGAAGCCCCGGCUAACUACGUGCCAGCAGGCGAGGUAAUACGUAGGGGGCAAGCGUUAUCCGGAUUUACUGGGUGUAAAGGGAGCGUAGAGGGAAAGGCAAGUUCGAGGUUAAAACCCAAGGCUCAACCAUGGGACUGCCUUUGAAACUGUCAAACUAGAGUACGGGAGAGGUAAGAGGAAUUCCUAGUGUAGCGGUGAAAUGCUUAGAUAUUAGGAGGAACUCCAGUGGCGAAGGCGUCUUACUGGACCGAAACUGACGUUGAGGCUCGAAAGCGUGGGGAGCAAACAGGAUUAGAUACCCCUGUAGUC
rnacentral:rRNA from 1 species